AUAUAUAUCAUAACUGCAAUCAUAGCACUGAAAUUAAAGGAACAGGAACAGCAAAAUCGCAUAGGAUUAGGAUAAACUAAUGAGGUAUGGAAUACGCGCCUUGUCCUCCAUCAGCAUCAAUGUCAUCUGCUUCAUUUUUUAUGUUGCCACACACAUUACACUCCAAGAGAUUAGACGACUGGUUAACAUUUGACGAAGGCAAAGGAGCUAGAGUUCCCCAGCAAUUUUCUCGAUUACACAUGUAUCUCACGAAGAAAU
rnacentral:misc_RNA from 1 species